rnacentral:rRNA from 1 species
ACUCCUACGGGAGGCAGCAGUGGGGAAUCUUGGACAAUGGGGGCAACCCUGAUCCAGCCAUGCCGCGUGAGUGAUGAAGGCCCUAGGGUCGUAAAGCUCUUUCGCCAGAGAUGAUAAUGACAGUAUCUGGUAAAGAAACCCCGGCUAACUCCGUGCCAGCAGCCGCGGUAAUACGGAGGGGGUUAGCGUUGUUCGGAAUUACUGGGCGUAAAGCGCACGUAGGCGGAUUGGAAAGUUAGAGGUGAAAUCCCGGGGCUCAACCCCGGAACUGCCUUUAAAACUCCCAGUCUUGAGUUCGAGAGAGGUGAGUGGAAUUCCGAGUGUAGAGGUGAAAUUCGUAGAUAUUCGGAGGAACACCAGUGGCGAAGGCGGCUCACUGGCUCGAUACUGACGCUGAGG